rnacentral:rRNA from 1 species
UACGUAGGGUGCAAGCGUUAAUCGGAAUUACUGGGCGUAAAGCGUGCGCAGGCGGUUUGAUAAGUCAGAUGUGAAAUCCCCGGGCUUAACCUGGGAACUGCGUUUGAAACUGUCAAGCUAGAGUACGUCAGAGGGGGGUGGAAUUCCACGUGUAGCAGUGAAAUGCGUAGAGAUGUGGAGGAACACCGAUGGCGAAGGCAGCCCCCUGGGAUGAUACUGACGCUCAUGCACGAAAGCGUGGGGAGCAAACAGG